GGAUGCGGGUGAGACAGGUGGGGAGGUGAUGAUGGCAAACAUCUCUGGGAGGGAGCUCCGGGCAGAGCGGGCUUUGGUGUCGCGGUAGACGGGGUCUGCCAACUUCUAGGCUGCCAGAGUUAACGGCUUAGCUGAUUUGGCAUGCUGGGAAAAAUCUGUAUGCAUAAUUGGAGUCGAGAUGUACCUUAGCUUGCCUUGGGAACCUGUGAAUUUGAACACUCAAAUGGAAGAGCAGAGGGUUCACAAUCUUAUUAGAAGCUUCUAACAGCGUUAUUCGUGGGGAGUUUAAUUGCGCUGUAACGGUGUAUUGGAAAAACUAAUUUUUCUUCUUUCCAUUUGCAGCUCAAUAGUAGCAGUAGCAUUAUAAAUGUAAGGAUUGCUAUAGAGCACUGGGUACCUUAGAUACCAUCAAGCAAACCAUCUAGCAAUUCCCGAGGCCCAAGAAAAUCAGCCGCUAAUAGUUUUGAUGAUCUUUAUUUGCAAUCCCACAAAGAGUUCCCUUGUGAUGAAGCAAGAGUUCUCCUGAAUUAUGGACAACUUCUCGUUUUCUUUCGUCCCACCAAAUCAUCCCGAAGAUGAUUUCCUUCCCACUUUCAUUCUGAAGAGCUGGUGAAAGCCUUUUAGUGAAACUUGGUGUCACUGAGGAGGAAAGAAAUUGGAAAGCCAUGGAAAAAUGGCUUAUAUUGGAUCCAGGAGCUCCCGCAGAGGAAGACGUUAUCUUUAAUCCUUUUUGUCUCAGGCAGACACUGCAAGAGAUGACAAGGUUCAGCAAGAUGACUCGGGCCAAAUUUACUUUUUUCCAUCUAAGAGCCAAAGAGUGGGAAAGGAAGACCAGAUCAGCAGCAUCAGGUAACAGUGCGAGCCCAGCUUAACUGAUCAUUUCUUUGCUAUCUACACCUCUGGAUCGACCUCUUCAUUCUUCAACUACUCACCUCACAUCUCUGGAUUAAUUACCAUGGCAGGUAGCUUUCAGAACUUCUUCUUUUUAAUUUAUUUCAUAUACAGUUCACUUAGAGCCAUUUCUUUUUUUUUAAAUUUUUUUAAUUUUUUAUUUUUUUAUUUAUGAUAGGCACACAGUAAGAGAGAGAGGCAGAGACACAGGCAGAGGGAGAAGCAGGCUCCACGCACCGGGAGCCCGACGUGGGAUUCGAUUCUGGGUCUCCAGGAUCGCGCCCUGGGCCAAAGGCAGGCGCUAAACCACUGCGCCACCCAGGGAUCCCCUUAGAGCCAUUUCUACAUUUACUCCCAGAUCUUCAUCUCAAGUACCAACCUAGUUCAUUUAAUUCACUCAACCAACAUUCCUUGGGCUUUAACAAUGUACCAUGCAAAGUGCAGCAAGCACAGCUGGUCAUAGCCUUGCUCUCAUGGAGCUUAUAGUCUAGUAGCAGAUAUAGACAGAGAAAUAGGCUAGUGGUACAGUGACAUGGGUUCUAAAAUGGUAGAAAUUAUAGGAACUUCCAUCCAUUGAGUCUCCUUUUUUCAAUAGUCCUCACCUUCAAUUACAUUUGGGGUAUUUAUUCUGAAGAAGUGCAUCUAUUUACGGUUUUUCUC
rnacentral:lncRNA from 12 species